ACGUAGGGUGCGAGCGUUAAUCGGAAUUACUGGGCGUAAAGCGUGCGCAGGCGGUUUCACAAGCUAGAUGUGAAAGCCCCGGGCUUAACCUGGGAAUGGCAUUUAGGACUGUGGAGCUAGAGUGCGGCAGAGGGAGGUGGAAUUCCACGUGUAGCAGUGAAAUGCGUAGAGAUGUGGAGGAACACCGAUGGCGAAGGCAGCCUCCUGGGCCGACACUGACGCUCAUGCACGAAAGCGUGGGGAGCAAACAGGAUUAGAUACCCUGGUAGUCCACGCCCUAAACUAUGUCAACUGGUUGUUGGGGAAGGUAACUUCCUUAGUAACGAAGCUAACGCGUGAAGUUGACCGCCUGGGGAGUACGGCCGCAAGGUUA
rnacentral:rRNA from 1 species